rnacentral:rRNA from 1 species
AUUGAACGCUGGCGGCAUGCCUUACACAUGCAAGUCGAACGGUAACAGGUUAAGCUGACGAGUGGCGAACGGGUGAGUAAUGUAUCGGAACGUGCCCAGUCGUGGGGGAUAACUGCUCGAAAGAGCAGCUAAUACCGCGUACGACCUGAGGGUGAAAGCGGGGGAUCGCAAGACCUCGCGCGAUUGGAGCGGCCGAUAUCAGAUUAGGUAGUUGGUGAGGUAAAGGCUCACCAAGCCGACGAUCUGUAGCUGGUCUGAGAGGACGACCAGCCACACUGGGACUGAGACACGGCCCAGACUCCUACGGGAGGCAGCAGUGGGGAAUUUUGGACAAUGGGCGCAAGCCUGAUCCAGCCAUGCCGCGUGCGGGAAGAAGGCCUUCGGGUUGUAAACCGCUUUUGUCAGGGAAGAAAAGGUUCUGGCUAAUACCUGGGACUCAUGACGGUACCUGAAGAAUAAGCACCGGCUAACUACGUG